rnacentral:rRNA from 1 species
UACGUAGGGUGCGAGCGUUAAUCGGAAUUACUGGGCGUAAAGCGUGCGCAGGCGGUUCGUUAUGUCCGUUGUGAAAGCCCCGGGCUCAACCUGGGAAUGGCAAUGGAAACUGGCGAGCUAGAGUGUGGCAGAGGGGGGUGGAAUUCCGCGUGUAGCAGUGAAAUGCGUAGAGAUGCGGAGGAACACCGAUGGCGAAGGCAGCCCCCUGGGCUAGCACUGACGCUCAGGCACGAAGGCGUGGGGAGCAAACAGG